AUGAAAAGUGGACACAGGGGAGUCAGUCGGCAAAUAUUUACCCCAACUUGAUAGCACUUUCUACUGUGGUUGAAAAGAAAUAUGCUAAAGUUAGAGUAGAUAUCAACUGGUUUUCAGUCAAGAGGGCAAGGAAAUGAAACAUGGCUGCAGAGGAUGCAACACAGAGUCCAAAUGUUACUCCAAGUUAGCAAUUAUAUCGUUGGAAAUGACUGAAAAAUGAAAUUUCAUAGAAAAGAGGUUGAGUUUUGCCUGUAGCUCACUUCCUCAUUAAAACUACCCCAAAGAGAAGCACUUAUGAACACAGGACCAAUCAAUGCUCCCAUUUGAAGUAAUCUUAAUGUGUUGAACUCUGUGUUUAAUUGACCAUUGCAUGGAGAACAUAGUGUUGAGUUCCAGAAGUCUCCUGAAGCACUGAUCACUUGAAACUACCCCAACAAAUAGCACUUACCAAAUACAACAGACGAGUCAGUGCCAUUGUGAGGGUACCGAUAGUGACAAUAGAAGCAGCUGAAAAUCUUGUCCAGUGUAUAGCCAGAAACUUGGUAGGAUGUGGGACGAGAUCAUUUGCAGUCAGAGAUGUUGCCUGUAUUUAGGAAGAGCUGGUCUGAGCCAUGUGGUUUACCAGCACCCAAUAUAAGGGUGUCCAUACCCCCUUGGCUAUGGCCAUGGUCGUUGACACUCUGCUUUUUUUUUUUUUUUUUUUUUUUGUGAAGCCAAUCAAGUUUUGAUUGCUAUGUUAACAUCUUUGGAACGACUCAGCAUUUUUCAGCAUGGGUGGACUUUUUACACAUUUAAAGCACUUCAUGCAAAUGCAACAAUUACAAACUUAAAAUGACUCUGGACAAACUUAAAUUUAGACCAGAGUCAUUUUAAAAGGAAAGACCUACACUAAAUACAAAAA